rnacentral:rRNA from 1 species
UUGAACGCGAAGAACCUUACCUGGUCUUGACAUGUACGGAAUCCUCCAGAGACGGAGGAGUGCCUUCGGGAGCCGUAACACAGGUGCUGCAUGGCUGUCGUCAGCUCGUGUCGUGAGAUGUUGGGUUAAGUCCCGCAACGAGCGCAACCCUUGUCAUUAGUUGCCAUCAUUAAGUUGGGCACUCUAAUGAGACUGCCGGUGACAAGCCGGAGGAAGGUGGGGAUGACGUCAAGUCCUCAUGGCCCUUAUGACCAGGGCUUCACACGUCAUACAAUGGUCGGUACAGAGGGUAGCCAAGCCGCGAGGUGGAGCCAAUCUCACAAAACCGAUCGUAGUCCGGAUUGCACUCUGCAA